CAGAUUAUACUUAAUAGAUAAGAAUUUCAUUUACAUUGGAAUAUUGGUUGUGCAAAUCAACAUAAUUUGA
rnacentral:tRNA from 1 species